CACAAUUGGCUGUGUGCACGUCCCCCACACAGCAGUGCUGCUGACGUGCUAGACGGAAAGCCAAGCCAGGACCAUGGUUCUAACUCAUUCUCCAUCUCCCCCGCUGGAAGAGAAUGGUGAGCUACCGCCCCAGCUGUCUUGCAGAUACUGAAACCCUCACCAGGUGGGAGAAACUAACUGUAUGCUGCCCACAAGCACACAGACCCCAGACCCAUUGGAACUAGAUGGUUGAUGAUGCUGACUCCCACUUACCUUACCACCAAACCAAUCAGAAGAAUGUCCACCUGCUGAUCAUGGCCACACCCUCUUGGAAGCAUUACUAUAAAACGAUUCACUACCCGCCUCCAGAACUAUCUACUACUAUCCUAUGA
rnacentral:lncRNA from 1 species